rnacentral:rRNA from 1 species
UACGGGGGGAGCAAGCGUUGUUCGGAUUUACUGGGCGUAAAGGGCGCGUAGGCGGCCACCGCAAGUCGACUGUGAAAUCUCCGGGCUUAACCCGGAAAGGUCAGCCGAUACUGCGGGGCUAGAGUGCAGAAGGGGCAACUGGAAUUCUCGGUGUAGCGGUGAAAUGCGUAGAUAUCAGGAGGAACACCGGUGGCGAAGGCGGAUCUCUGGGCCAGUACUGACACUGAGGAGCGAAAGCGUGGGUAGCAAACAGG